rnacentral:lncRNA from 1 species
AUCAGUCUAGAGAUGACAGCAUGGGUAUAGGCAGUUUUGAGGAAGGUAUGGGAGAGUCGCAGGGAGGUGCUCAGACCUCAGGUUUUGGCUAUCCAGAGUAUCCGAUGGGAGGUAUGUCGGAGUACUCGAGUUUUGUGCCAUAUCCUCCUUACAUGCCUUAUAUGCCUUAUCCGUACUAUCCACCAUAUCCUAUGUAUCCCUCUUCCCCUACCCAUCCAAGUGCAGCACACCUAGAACCAAAUGAACUAGUACUACCACCAGAACCAGUAGCCCCUGUUGUUGACAGACAUGAACCUAGCUCAUCUGGAG